UCGACCCCAGGUCAGGCGGGACUACCCGCUGAGUUAA
rnacentral:rRNA from 1 species